rnacentral:rRNA from 1 species
UACGGAGGGAGCUAGCGUUAUUCGGAAUUACGUGGGCGUAAAGCGCACGUAGGCGGCUUUGAUAAGUAAGAGGUGAAAGCCCAGAGCUCAACUCUGGAAUUGCCUUUAGACUGCAUCGCUUGAAUCAUGGAGAGGUCAGUGGAAGUUCCGAGUGUAGAGGUGAAAUUCGUAGAUAUCGGAGGAACACCAGUGGCGAAGGCGGCUCACUGGCUCGGUACUGACGCUGAGGUGCGAAAGCGUGGGGAGCAACAGG